ACAGAGUUUCUCCAUGGUAAGCAAAAUAGAAGACGCCAUGCAAAAUCCAGCGCACAGCAGCAGGUGGAUGCCUGCUGCAACAAAAUCUUGGCAAAAAAAAAAGUGAUUUUGGUAGUACCCACCUGCUCAUGCCAUCCAAGGUAACUCUCGAAUUCCCAUUCGGGUAGCUCUUUGAAGGGCUCGAACUUCUUGCCGUAGUACUCCUCAGUAACACUCCGAAACUUUUCAAUUCCCCACUCGUUGACCAAAUACUUCAUUCUACUGUACCGCCUUUCAUCUCUUCUCCCAUGCUCACGCUGCACCACAACAAUUGCUUUCACAGCAUACAAGAUGUCUUCUUUCGGCACGUAACCAAGGGGCUUCCCGAGGCAAGGGAACGUCGUCUCCACCCGAUGGGUUCUUCCCAUGCCGCCUCCGACCUACAAUCACAAAAUAUUUACAACGAAAAAACGCCACUUAUCACCCUCCGA
rnacentral:lncRNA from 1 species